CUACUGUGCGAAGCAUGGAACAAUAAAUUCAAGCCUAUGGUCGGCCACACGCAUCCAACUGUUUGGAAGUUUAUCAAGAACCUGCAGCUCGAGGAACAAAGCGUUCGCACCGUUCUCGCACAAAACGCUAUCGGCAACCAACCUAGGAAACGAGUUCGUCGCGCAGUACAGGAACAUCAGAGGCGGCUGCAGAACCUGUGUGCGGACUACAAUGCAGGAACAAAAACCAUGGAGCAAUGCCUACGUGGCAUAGGACAUUGUAUUCGAAUUGGCAAUAUCGUGUAAUGUGCCGAAUCGAUCAACUGAAAUACCGUUACUCCAUGUGCCCACACAGACUUUGAUUUAACUACUUGUUAAACAUCUGAUCCCAUUUGAUGUGCUGUUUAUAGGCGGACAGGACUGGAUGUCAUACAUGUACGUAAAACUGCCUCCUGGAUGCACGGACUCUGGACACGACUCCGACAAGCAACGGAAAUACACAAUGGUUGAGGCACGGCUCAAACGCCUUAUCGGCGGCGUUUGGAAACUUACAAUGCCAAAGAUUGCCGAGUAUUGCUCAAAACGGAAACUGGUGGUCAUAUUAUUAACGUUUGGUUUGAUUGUAUUAGGCACAAAAUUAAAUGUAUCAACUAUGUUUAAAACGUCAAGGGAUGCACACCAAUAUUUAAUGCCGUAUCCGUGGAAAGUAGACGAAUCACUCAGACCAUAUUUCUCUUCGCCGCUCAGUAGCAUGGAUACUAACGACUUGUUACGGACGCUAGAGGUAUUCAUGCACACUCUUGACGCUGCCAACCUAACUUAUUUUAUGUACGGUGGGACCUUGAUAGGAUCCUAUCGAAACCACGGGCCAAUUCCUUGGGAUGAUGAUCUAGAUUUCUUAUGCGACUUAAAACAGAAACAGCAACUUCUUGACGCGCUUUCAAAACUUCGGCCAACUUUUAAGAUGUUCACCGGAUACCAGUGGAAAUUUUACAUGGAUGACCUGAACUUUAGGCAUAAUGUUGGCUUCUUCGGGCGCAAUAUCUUUCGUUACUUCUACCGCUGGUGUUGGCCCUUCGUCGAUAUCUUCUUUUACGAUGAGAACGCUACUCAUAUUUGGGACAGCACACCGUGGAACAAAGACGCGUUCGUUUGGAGAAAGGAGGACGUCUUUCCGCUAAAACGGCGGCCAUUUUCCUAUCUUUGGCCAUACGGCCCAAACAAUGCAAGAAAAGUCCUCGACACGAACUACAACAUCUCUGUUUGUGCCUCUAAUCAUCAGAACCACUUGACAGAGCAUUACUACAAGGAUAUCAAAGAAGUGGAGUGUGCCGUUUUGAGCAAGCAGUACCCCUUCGUUCACAGAACAGUGUUAUCAAAUGGCUCAGUGAAGGAGGAAUUGAUGCUCCCUGGGCAGACUCCAUUGCAAACUGUGAUACUCUAAGUCGCGUCUUCCUAAAUUGUGAUUAGUGACUGUCGGGGAAGCCCGGUUUACACUAUCACAUUAAUGAAAAACGGUCACAAAAAUUAUUUGUCGUUGAAGAGAUGAUCUAUAUGUUUUUUGGUGCCUUCCAUUCUACAAACAGGUUUUGCAAUCAAAUAUACCAUUUAUUAUGUACAAAAGUGUGCAUGUACAUGUAUAUACAAGUACCAUGUGCCAUUUAUUUUGUUGAUUAUGACUGAUUGUUUUUAUAAAUGACUGCUAGUUUGAUUUAUAGCAACACAUCACUUCCUUCUGCCACUUCCAAAUAAGUUGCAUUCUGGCACUGAAGAUGGCGUGAGAUGUGCAAGUGGGAUAAAACCCAGCUUCCGCGCUGCUUCGGCGUCAAUUAAAAGGUAGAGGCAGGCCCGAACAUUUUGGUCAUGUGUAUUGAUCUAGGCUGACAUACAUUCCUCCCUCCUUUCCACUGUCAAGAACCCUCACCUUUAUUAAACAAAUAAUAAAACCACGCGCUUGUGAAUAGGUUGCUUUUUACUGAACUU